rnacentral:tRNA from 1 species
GCGCGGGUGGUGGAAUUGGUAGACACGCAUGGUUGAGGGCCAUGUGGGUAUCACCCGUGUGGGUUCGAGUCCCACCCCGCGCACCA